UACAGAGGUGGCAAGCGUUGUUCGGAAUUACUGGGCGUAAAGCGCACGUAGGCGGAUCGAUCAGUCAGGGGUGAAAUCCCAGGGCUCAACCCUGGAACUGCCUUUGAUACUGUCGAUCUGGAGUAUGGAAGAGGUGAGUGGAAUUCCGAGUGUAGAGGUGAAAUUCGUAGAUAUUCGGAGGAACACCAGUGGCGAAGGCGGCUCACUGGUCCAUUACUGACGCUGAGGUGCGAAAGCGUGGGGAGCAAAC
rnacentral:rRNA from 1 species